UACGUAGGGUGCAAGCGUUAAUCGGAAUUACUGGGCGUAAAGCGUGCGCAGGCGGUUUCGUAAGUCUGAUGUGAAAUCCCCGGGCUCAACCUGGGAAUUGCAUUGGAGACUGCAAGGCUGGAGUCUGGCAGAGGGGGGUAGAAUUCCACGUGUAGCAGUGAAAUGCGUAGAGAUGUGGAGGAACACCGAUGGCGAAGGCAGCCCCCUGGGUCAAGACUGACGCUCAUGCACGAAAGGCGUGGGGAGCAAACAGGAUUAGAGUACCCGGGU
rnacentral:rRNA from 1 species